GACGAACGCUGGCGGCGUGCUUAACACAUGCAAGUCGAACGGAGAUUGCUGACAGAAGCCUUUCGGGGUGGAAGAUAGUAUAUUUUAGUGGCGGACGGGUGAGUAACGCGUGAGUAACCUGCCUCGAAGAGUGGAAUAACAGCGAGAAAUCGUUGCUAAUACCGCAUAAGACCACGGCGUCGCAUGAUGCAGGGGUCAAAGAUUUAUCGCUUUGAGAUGGACUCGCGUCCCAUUAGCUAGUUGGUGAGAUAAUAGCUCACCAAGGCAACGAUGGGUAGCCGGACUGAGAGGUCGAUCGGCCACACUGGGACUGAGACACGGCCCAGACUCCUACGGGAGCAGCAGUGGGAAUAUUGGGCAAUGGGCGCAAGCCUGACCCAGCAACGCCGCGUGAAGGAAGAAGGUUUUCGGAUUGUAAACUUCUGUCCUC
rnacentral:rRNA from 1 species